AAAAACUACAUUUUCAUAAAAAUAACAAAAAAUUAUAAAACAAAGCAGACUUGAAAGAACAAGGGUGGGUAGAUAUGAAAGGAAGAAAAACAAAACAGAAUGAAACAUAGUUAAUUGUGCUAAAGACUCAAUAGAUAAAAUGAAUUGAAAUCUGGAUACAUUUGAAUAAAGAAUUUGUGAAUCAGAAAACAGUGUUGAAGAAUUUAACCUGAAUAUUACACAGAUACUGAUAUCAAAUAUAACAGAACAGUCACAAUAAGGUUGAGGAAUAAACAGGCAUAAUGUGAAUUACAUGAGAAAAAAGAGAGUGGGAAGUUGAAGAGGCAAUAUUUAAGAAAAUAUUGAACAUUUUCCAUAAUUGACAAAAGACAUGAGUCUUCAAAACAAAGCACACUUUGAGACUGAGCAAGAGAAAUAAAAUUAUACCCACCUUUAGACAUAUUGCAGUGGAAUUGAAGAGCAGCAAGAAUAAAGAGAAAAUAUCUUAAAAGCUACCAAAUAAAAAAGACGAUACAACAAAACAAUUAGAAAGCAGACUUCUCAUUAACAAUAGUUGCGAGGAGACAAUGGAGUAACGUAUUCAAGCUAGAAAUUUAUGUGCAUAUACAUUCUUAUUCAAGAGUGAAGGAAAAAUCAGAUUUACAAAGGCUAUACUUAUGAUCCAGACCCUUGUUGAAAGAAAUAUUACAAUAUAUACAUUAUCAAGAAGAGAAGUGAACACAGAGGGAAUGCUUAAGAUGUGUGAAAUCACAAUGAACAAAUAAAUUGGUAAAAUAUGCCAGUAAGUUUAAUGACGGAAAAAAGUAAUUGUUUUGUAUCAACCAAAGUAAAACUAAAUUUCAAAGCAACAAUAAAAUGAUCGAGUUGUUCAAUGGAUAGUUAGAGCAUGCUAAAAUCUUUGCCUUUGGAAGGAAGAUAAAUAAAACUGGUUAACAUUGUAUUGUUUAGAAAAUGUAUAUGUAAAUAUGUUUUUAAAAGUUGAUGAGUUCUAAAAAAAAUAAAAUAAAUAUAAAUUAGUUAAAUUCACCCAGUAAA
rnacentral:lncRNA from 1 species